rnacentral:snRNA from 1 species
GUGCUCACUUCCACAGUACAUCUACUAAAAUUGGCAUGAAAUAGAGAAGAAGAGCAUGCUCCCUUUGAAAGGAUAACACACAAAUGCAUGAAGCAUUCCAUAUUUUA